CCUUCAUCAGGUAGCUGCAUGUUCCUCUCUGUCCCAGGGGGGCAGUGUUGUAAAAGGAAGUCAUGUCGUCCUGAGAAGGAAAACGACUGAUGGGUGCCCCUCACAUUCCAGUGUGUUCUGCAUGGGUCCUCUACGGGUGGACCCUUCCAGCCUUGCAGGUGAGUAGCAUACGUUCAUUCUGGAAGCCGUGCAUUUCUGUUUUCAUUGUGUACCUCCCUGUGGCUGUACAGAAAUGCUUUCACGUCACUGAAAUAAAACUAGUAACUUAGAAACAUGCCUUUCCGAAUCCUGUCUGUAGUGUAGCACCCUAUUCACCCAGCUCGCCUUUGGGUGUCCAUUAAUCCAUGUUCGCAAGACAUCAGAACCAGUGUCCAGUGGAGCAGAGGCUGCCCUAGACGGUGACAGGCAACCAGGCCAGAGCGGACAGGUGAGUUCAGAGGAGACUCUGGAUCUAGGCUCACGAUCGCAUGACUUGGAGCCCAGCACCCCAAAAUGAGUAUAAACCUGACCUCACAAAAGUUUCUUGGGGGAUUAUUAUGCUUUUAAAAAUACACUUCACUUUAGGAAAUGAACACUAUUUAGUCUAUAUAAACUGUCCUAGUUUAAUGCAGCACCCUAUUGUUUGACUAUCCCAUGCAUUUACCUUAAGUAGUGAUAUUCAUUUUGGAUGACAAAUUGUUACACACCAAGAUUGUAUCUGAGUAUAUAAUGCUUGGUAAAGUCUUUCUGAUCAUGGUUAUUGCUCCUACUUUGUGCAUGAAACAGGAAAAAGACCUCGCAAUUCCCAAUUUGGGAGUCUUCCUGACUGUACUUCACUGAAAUGUCUCCAAAACAGAACCUGAAAGAACCACAGGGAACAUUUGCAGGAAAACCCAGGGGUCACAAUGUGGGGGACCCCAGGCGUCAGCCAGGAGAAUGCAAACUUCCACUGUGGCUCCAAAGGACAAUUUCUUCUGCAAAGGGAAUGAUCUCACUUUGGACAAUAAGAAGACCCUCGAUGGCCACUGCAGGUCCCAGCUGCCGGGCACCGGGCAUCGAAUUGCUAACGGACGGAGAAGGCAUUCACCCUUCUAAGAACGCCAUCUUUUCCUGAUCCCAGGCUCUGCCUCACUCCCACAGGCUAUGAAACAGAUCGGCUGAUACUGUGUCUAAAUCCUGGCCCAGCAGAGAGAAGGCUGACUCUCUCUUGGCAAUGACCGUACCUCCAGACACGAUGGAUUUGGGGAGGGGCCACCUCCAGUUCAGUGCUCAGAGAGCUCGUGUAUUGAGGAGCAUGUUACCCAGAAUCUGAUGGAGACGUUCCCAGAGAAAGAGACAAAGUGAAGAUGAGCUAUGUGCUAAAUCCAUCCAUUUGGAGGACUCUGUGGAUUUGGUAAAAAUGUAUGAAAAAGGCCAAAGAGCACCUGGACACACGUGCGUGCACAGGUCCUUUCUGGGCUGGCAGCAUGAAAGUGCAUACAAAUAAGCAAGAACAACAUGAUGUACAGAAAAGGUAAGCAAACCAAGAAAAGAGCAAAACUAAAAGAAUGUUCUCCAUGCUACCCUUUAUAUUUCACUUAAACCAAGAGUAUCGCAUAGUCUCCCAUUCGCUUGUCACAAAGCAAAUGAGAGCAGAACCUAAACUCAGAUCCAAAUCUAAAUCUGGGCCUGUGGGGAACCCUCAAAGGAUGGAAGGGGAGGCUCUAAAUAUUAGGCCUGAAAGUCACCAGAAUCACUACCAGAGAUGACGCGCCAGACGUACUUGCUUUUACCUCAGUGAUUUACAGUGAACAUCAUCAUGGCCUCAAACCAAUGCGUUCUCUACUUACUACCCCAAAUGGGACAGAGCAGGAAUGUCUUCUUUUACUCUAACGACAGCUGUUCUGCCUGGUAUAAUGAUGCCUCAGACCUGUAUUCAAGGCGGUCCAACUACUGUCUCCUAUAGUCAAUACAACCCAACACGUUGGUAAUGUUUCCAGCUGGUCCCUAAUUGGAGGAAAGUAAAUCCGGGCCUCUGAACACAGUACUUAUCACUGGUUAGAUGUCUAGCAAUGGGGUUCAUGGGGUUACAGACGGGAAGGAAGACCCUUUCAUGAUUUCACAUCAGUUUCCUUGUAAUAUAUCUCAUUUGAAAAGCCACCCUCGUUACGAUGCAGCUAUGGUAACUAAACCUGGAGAAGGGGAUCACGCUGGCCGAUAUUCCCAUCUCUGAAAGGACUUACGGGAGGCAGUGCAGCAGAGGAGUUAAGAGAAAGGCUCCGAAGUCACACUGCCAAGGGGGCAGUCUGGGCUCACUGGUGCCUGGAUGUGUGACCUUGGGGCGAUGCCUUAGCUGUGCUCCGGCUUCCUUACCUGUCAAACAGGAAGGGCAGAGCACCUGCCUCAAAAGAUGGCUGUCAGGGUCAAAGGAGCACUUAGAAAGUGCCUGGCACAGAAAUGCUUAACACAGAUUUGUCGCUGCUGUCAGCUUAGAGAAGACAGGAAAGGCAGGCAGCCCAAGUGGUUAGACAAUCCCAUGAACACCAGGCAGGUAUUAGCGGGGGCCGGGAAGGAAGGGGCCACGGCGGGGGUAUGCAGAUGGCCGCCUGGCCGGAGAAGCAGCACCUGGGCGGUGGUGGCCUGUCCUCUGCUCACGGGAGGUCACAGGGCUUCAACCAAACAAAACCACUCCACAGUUUGUGAGCGGGAUAGGGAGUACUUUGUCAUUUUUGAUUCAAUUUUUUUAACAAGUAAUAGAAUCACAUAGCUCAAAACUUGAAAAGUUACAGAGGGUUCUCAGUGAAAAACCCACCCUGUUCCCCCAGACCAGUUUCUUUUCCAAAAGGCAAAGAAAAAAAUGCUGCCAAUUGCUUGUGGGCCCUUCCAGAAACACUCCAUGUGCAUAGAAACAAAAUGAGUAUGGGUAUGAGUGUUUAAGAAUACUUGAUUUGUAUAAAGACAUGCAUCAAAAAUGAUUUGGUUGGCAUUUCAGCACUAGAAACAAAUACAGUGCCCCAUCUACAAAAGGCCUCAUUAUUCACAUUUGUGCAUAAGCAGAAUGAUUUAGACAUCAGGAUUCAGGAAAACAUAAUCACAUCCAAGAAGCAGGCCAGUUUCCGUACCGUGGGAAGCCAGCUGAAGGAGGGGCCCUGAUUCAUGUGGACCAAAGGAAAGUUACAUCUCAAGUGAAGUAAGUGCUUGUCUAAUGACCUAAAAAGUGACUGCAUUUUUCACGGUCGAUGAAAUUUGUAAAUAGUAACCUCCUUAUCCACAGCAUUUACUCAGUCACCUUGCUUCUGAGGCCUGAUCGGGUUCUUUUGAGUGGAUGUUUCACUGUGUGUGAGACCCCCUCACUGGCCCACCAGCACUGGGUGGGGAAGCAACACCGCCAUUCAGAGUAACACCAGUAGAACCCCCGAAUUCACUAGUCAGUAAACAAAGGGAGGACAGCUCGCUGGGCAAAAGGUUUGCCCGUGUGGCUCCUUCACACAGAGCUUCCUCGAAGCAUCUGAAGUAGGGUAAUUAAAAUUUUUGAUUAAAUACAAAUUUUAAGCAAAACUUCCAUUUGGUAAAGCAAGGCUUUCGUGUAGAGGGACACUGAAAUUGAAAAGUAAACAUGACUCAGAUUGGGAAUAAAUAUUUCCAAUCCAGCUGAUUAUUUCUUAGCAUUUCCUCUCUUCAGGGAUCCGGAUACCCCUCCUUGCAAUACUCUUAGGAAAUGAAUACGCCGCCAGGUUACUUGCAAUCCGGAGGGGGGAAGAGUUCUCUGCUCCUUCAGGUGGCUUUAGAAGUCGCUUUCACCGGUAUGAACAGGUGGGA